rnacentral:tRNA from 5 species
GCUACUGUGGCUCAGUUGGUAGAGCAGCGCAUUCGUAAUGCGCAGGUCGUCAGUUCGAGUCUGACCAGUAGCUCCA